AUACGGAGGAUGCGAGCGUUAUCCGGAUUUAUUGGGUUUAAAGGGUGCGUAGGCGGAAGGCUAAGUCAGCGGUGAAACGCAGGUGCUCAACACCUGACCUGCCGUUGAGACUGGUUUUCUGGAAUGCGGAUGCUGUGGGAGGAAUGUGUGGGGUAGCGGUGAAAUGCAUAGAUAUCACACAGAACACCGAUUGCGAAGGCAUCUCACAAAUCCGCAAUUGACGCUGAGGCACGAAGGUGCGGGGAUCGAACAGGAUUAGAUACCCUGGUAGUCCGCACAGUAAACGAUGAUGACUCGCUGCCGGCGAUAGACAGUCGGUGGCCAAGCGAAAGCGAUAAGUCAUCCACCUGGGGAGUACGACCGCAAGGUUGAAACUCAAAUGAAUUGACGGGG
rnacentral:rRNA from 1 species